rfam:Citrus sinensis cultivar Ridge Pineapple sweet orange scaffold00254_contig_38, whole genome shotgun sequence.
GCACUUACCUAGAUGGUUCAAUAAGUGAUCAAUGAGUCUCGUGUCUUUGGGCUGUCCAGCAUUGCACUUGUUGGAGGACUGCCCUAAGGUUUCCCUAAGCAAGGAGAGCCUACUUCGUAAUUUGUGACAUGGGGCCUGCGUUCGCGCGAGCUCUGC